AGAACGAACGCUGGCGGCAGGCUUAACACAUGCAAGUCGAACGGUUGUAGCAAUACAGCAGUGGCGCACGGGUGAGUAACGCGUGGGAACAUACCUUUCAGUUCGGGAUAACUUCGGGAAACCGAGGCUAAUACCGCAUAAAACCUAAGGGUCAAAGGAGCAAUCCGUUUGAGGAGGGGGUCGCGGCAGAUUAGUUAGUUGGCGGGGUAAUGGCCCACCAAGACGAUGAUCUGUAUCC
rnacentral:rRNA from 1 species